rnacentral:rRNA from 1 species
UACAGAGGGUGCGAGCGUUGUCCGGAAUCACUGGGCGUAAAGGGCGCGUAGGCGGCCUGAUAAGUCGGGGGUGAAAUUCUGCGGCUUAACCGCAGGACGGCCUUCGAGACUGUCGGGCUUGAGCACAGUAGAGGCAGGUGGAAUUCCCGGUGUAGCGGUGGAAUGCGUAGAGAUCGGGAAGAACAUCGGUGGCGAAGGCGGCCUGCUGGGCUGUUGCUGACGCUGAGGCGCGACAGCGUGGGGAGCAAACAGG